UUUUUUUUUUUUUUUUUUUAAAUGUUUUUGGCUUUGUUUUGGAGUGUUAGAUGUAUGAGACUGAUAGUGUAAAUGACAUUAUCUGUGAGGCUCCAGAUAGUUAUUUCCCGCCUCAGAAGGAAAAAAAAAAUUAGUUUGAUGAGUUAAGGAUUUGCGGUUAAUUAUCAUUCCGAAAAAUGCAUGCGACAUUGAAAGUAGUCGUUUUAGCUCUAUUAUGAUUUCAUGCCUUUAGCGAUAUGAAGUUGAGCCUCUUCAUUCUUGGAAUUCAUUGGAAAGAAAACACCGUGUUCCUCAAAUUAGGCUUUACUACGAUGUCGUUUGAUGCCUCAACUUAAACAACUGCCACGUGCAAGAUAAAAUUGCGAUCAAGAUUAAGAGCAUUGUCGUCUGCAUCCUAUUCCAAAUUCCAUAAUGAUGAGACAGCCGCCACUGAAGCCAUUGCCUUGCUCGGGCACCAAAAGGUCCCUCCCCAGCAGAAUCCAACAAUUCUGAGCGAUUUGAAAAAUAAUUGAUAAUUUAUAAGCCUCUCGAAGUGUCUUGAAAAUGAGUUUCCAUUGAAUUGAUAUGUCAUACAUACGUAGCUUCGAUGCAUGGAAGCGUCGAGGAGGAACAUUUCCCCUUGUCGGAUAUGGAAACGAUGGGGAGGCAUUUUGGAGUUGUUUUCUUAAAUUUGGAAAGUCGAAAAUGUGAUUCCAAAACUGGAAACGCAUAUAUUU
rnacentral:misc_RNA from 1 species